rnacentral:tRNA from 1 species
UACUUUAUAGCUUAAAUUUAAAGCUUUUUUUUACAAGAAAAAGAUUUUUUUAGUAU